rnacentral:rRNA from 1 species
UCCACGCUGUAAACGAUGGGCACUAGGUGUUGGUUCCGCUUGCGGAAUCGGUGCCGCAGCUAACGCAUUAAGUGCCCCCGCCUGGGGAGUACGAUCGCAAGGUUGAAACUCAAAGGAAUUGACGGGGGCCCGCACAAGCGGUGGAGCAUGUGGUUUUAAUUCGAUGCAACGCGAAGAACCUUACCGGGAUUUGACAUAUAAGCGAAAUGUACAGAGAUGUGCAUGCCUUUCGG